GUUACUCCCAUAUUUAGCAGCUUAAAAUAUCAAUAAAUCUUUAUUACCUCACAGUUUCUGAGGGUCAGGAAUUUGGGAGCAACUCAGCUGGGAAGUUCUGGCUCAGAGUCUCACAUGAGGUUGCAGUCAAGUUGUCGGCCGGGGCUGUAAUUAUCUGAGGGCUCGAUGGGGACUGAAGGACCCACUUCCAAGAUGGAUCACUCAUGAGGCUGUUGGCAGGAGGCCUCAGUUCCCACCACACGGAUACUUGAGUGUCCUCACGACAUGGCAGCUGGCUUCCCCCAGGGCGAGUGGUCCAAAGGGGACAAGGUGGAAGCUGAAUUCUCUUUUAUGACCUAGGCUCGAAAGACACACAUUUCUGCCAUAUCCUGUUAUUUACACAGGUCAGCCCUGGUUAAUGUGGGAGAGGACCACACAAGGGCAUGAAUAGUAGGAGGCAAGAAUUAUUGUGGUUCACCUGGAGGCUGCCUACCACACAUAUUGUCCUGCACCUUCCUUUUUUUCACUGAGCAGUGAUCUUCAGAAUAGUUCCAUAUCAAUACACAUAGAGUGACCUCACCUUUUUAAAUGCAUGGUAUUGCACGUGGGUACCCCAUGAUUUAUUGCCCCGUGAUUUAUUUAUUUGGGUUUUCCCGAAUGAGCUUUUUUCCCGAACGAGCUUUUCCCAAUAUUUACCCAGUCCUGUACUGAGGUCUCUGUUGCGGUUGUUCCUGAUUUUUUGCUGUUACAGUCAGGGCUGCAAUGACUGUCUUUGUACAGGAAUUAUUUCCAGUAUAUCUGGAGAAGUAAUACUCAGGGAUGGAAUGGCUAAGUCAAAGGUUGUGGUGCUUUGAAAAUGUAGUCAUAAAAUUUCUGAUAUUUCUUGGAUCGAGAGAUGGGGUCCAUAGCUCCUCCCCUAAAUCAGAGUGGGCUUUUGAUGCAUUUAACCAAGAGAGUAUUGCAGAAGCGAUGCUAUGUGACAUCCGAGGCUGGGUCAUAAAAGGCCAUGCAGUUCCCACCUUGUUUGCUGGAACACUUGCUCUUGGAGCCCUGAACCACCAUGUGAGGCUGCCAAGCUAUAAGAAGGCCCAAGAUACAUGAAGAGGACACAUAUUGGCACAUGAAUCAACAGUCCCAGUGAUACCCGGCCUUUGAGUCACGCCAGCAAAGAUGCCACUCGUGAGAGUGAAGAAGAAGCCUCCAGACAUUGAGUCACCCCCAGCUGAGGCCUUAGACUUCAUGGAGCAGAAAUGAACCAUAGAAAACUGGAAUAAAGGGUAUGGGCAUUUUUUAUUUGUGCCAAGCACUUAACACACACCUUAGCUCGUUUCAUCUUCCUAAUAACAAUCCUUCAGCGCAGGUAUUAUCAUCCUCAUUUUACAAAUCGGGAGACUGAAGCUCAGAGAGGUUUGGCAACUUGCCUAAAACCUCACAGCAGAUGACUCAAAGAGCUGAGAUGCUAACCUGGGUCUUUCUGACUCCAGAGCCACCCUCUUAUGUGGUCACAGGGCUGUCUGCUGAAGGAGAGAAGCAAGUCACUGUACCAAACUUGCAGCCUUAACCAUAUGGAAUUUCUAGACCUGAAGAACACACUGGGUUAGAUUAGAAGUUCCAGCCCUUGGACCUUUGGGAGCUAUUUUUGGCAAUAACUCCAUGGAAAUUGUGUGUUUAUUCUCUCUGCCAAUGUGGUUUAGUCAGGGAAGACUGUGUAAGCUCUCUAUUAUUGCCAGGAAUUCUGUUCAUUGAGAAUCUUGACGGGUCAGAGGUUCUUUCUAGCAGUUAGUAACCCCUUUGAUUAACAAACAAAUGAAGAUAUUACUUCCUUUAGUGGGAAGAAAGCUCUCUAAAGGUGGGAUUCUGUCUAAGCACUCUGCUGGGGAGUAGGUGGGAGACCCCAUCCCUGGGUGAUUUCUCCCCUACUGGUGGUGGGUGGUAUUGCAGCUCAGCUCAGACCACUGGGAGGUGAGAGCAGCUUACACAGGAGACCCACUUCCAAGAAAGGCUCCACUAAGAAGCAGUGCUGCCUGAUGGUGAAACCUGCUGUCUCAGGAGUCAGGUGUUCUGGGUUUAAAUCCCUGCCCUGACAUAUGUCAGGAAAACAGAAACCACACCGGGUGUUUCUAGCAAACGAAAAUGGUUACCUGAAUGAUGGGGCAAAUCAGGGUAUGAUGAGCACCAGAAGGACGGCCCCCUGAGCCCUCGCAAGGUGGGGAGGGAGACGGGGAGAUGGUUUUCCAGAGCCCAGGAGCCGGGCCACCCGUGGGCGGAGGAAUGGCCGUGGAACUGCUCAGGGGAAGGACUUUCCCACAGGAGCUGGUGCCACAGAGAAGUCCCCACUGCUGCCAAGGAUGCCACCUGAUGCAGAGGGAGGGCUCCCCUGCUUCUCCCCUCCUCCACCCUCCAGUCUCCUGCUGGCGGAACCCAGCUGAAACCACGGCCAAGGCAGCCUGGGCGAGUCAGUUCUCGCCACACAGAGGAGUGAUGACAACCCCUAACCGAAGGACUAAAAUCAGCAAGGCUGACCACACCGAGUGCUGCAGGGGAUGCAGACCCCCAGGCACUCUCAGGCCCACGGGGCGGGGAAUGGAAGUCACUAACCACCACCCCCAGAAAACUGGCAACCUGCACAGCCCCCGGGCCCUAGCAAUCCCACUCCUGGGGGUUAACCCCGAGACCCCAGGAGCCCUCCCCAACAGGCAGAUGCACAGAUGUUCACAGCAGCAGCGUCGCUCAGGGAAUGUCCCUGGAGACAACCCACGUAUUCCCCCAGCAGGACAAUGGAUAAGCAGUGUGAUGCAGCCAUUGGACGGAAUACUGCUUGGUGAAGAAAAAGAACAAACUCCCACCUUAUGUAACAGCGUGGAUGGAGGUCACGGACACAGUGUUGAGUGAAAGAAGUCCGAUGUAAAACCUCACACACCGUAUAAUUCCACUUAUCUGAAGGCAAAAUUCAUCAACGGUGACAGAAACCAGAACCAGUGACUACCUCUGCGGGGAGGAGGGUCAGGGUGGUCUGAGGGAACCUUCCUGGGUACCAGAAAUGUCCUGUAUCUUAAGCCAGGUGGUAGUUCCACAGGCAUCCACCUAUGUCAAAACAUAUCAAGUUGGACACUUUGUAUGAGCACACACUAUGAUUGUGUGUUUUACCCCAAUAAACACUUUUGAAAAUCAUUUUUUAAAAAUAACUGAUGGAUUCUAGGAAUUAUAGGAAAGAAGUACGGACACCUGCUACAACAUGGAUGAACCUGGGAAUCAUCAAGCUAAGUGAAAGAAGCCAGACACAAAAGGCCACAUACUGUAUGAUUCUGUUCGUAUGAAACGUCCAGAACAGGCAAAUCCACAGAGGAGGAAAGUCGGUGAGGAAGCAAAGGCCCAGAGAGUUGAGUGCUUCGUCCAGGGUCACACAGCCUCCCAGACCUUGGCUGUGAGCCAUCACCCAUUGUUGCAAGAAGGGUUCCUGGAAAGCAAGCUGCCCCGAGUUCCUCGUAGAGAUCAGAGGAGCCACAA